rnacentral:rRNA from 1 species
GAUGAACGCUGGCGGCGUGCUUAACACAUGCAAGUCGAACGGAAAGGCUCCUGCUUGCAGGGGUACUCGAGUGGCGAACGGGUGGGUAACACGUGGGUGAUCUGCCCUGCACUUCGGGAUAAGCCUGGGAAACUGGGUCUAAUACCGGAUAGGACCACAUUUUGGAUGGUGUGGUGGAAAGUUUUUCGGUGUGGGAUGAGCUCGCGGCGUAUGAGCUUGUUGGUGGGGUAAUGGCCUACCAAGGCGUCGACGGGUAGCCGGCCUGAGAGGGUGUACGGCCACAUUGGGACUGAGAUACGGCCCAGACUCCUACGGGAGGCAGCAGUGGGGAAUAUUGCACAAUGGGCGCAAGCCUGAUGCAGCGACGCCGGGUGGGGGAUGACGGCCUUCGGGUUGUAAACUCCUUUCGCUAGGGACGAAGCGCUAGUGACGGUACCUGGAGAAGAAGCACCGGCUAACUACGUG